GAAGUGGGCUGGACGGUCGCUGCUGUGGAGGUCUCCGUGACUGAAACAGGGGAGGAAAGUCCGGGCUUCAUAGGGCAAGGUGCCAGGUAACGCCUGGGCGGCGAAAGUCGACGGCAAGUGCAGCAGAGAGUAGACCGCCUCAUUCGUGAGGUAAGGGUGAAAGGGUGCGGUAAGAGCGCACCGCGUGUCUGGUAACAGUUCACGGCAAGGUAAACCCCACCAGAAGCAAGACCAAAUAGGAAUCCUGAGGCACGGCCCGUGCUGGAUUCGGGUAGGUCGCUUGAGCGUAUGAGUGAUUGUACGCCUAGAGGAAUGAUCGUCCUCGACAGAACCCGGCUUAUAGGCCCACUUCUCAA
rnacentral:RNase_P_RNA from 6 species